GCCUGGAUGGCUCAGUGGUUGAGUGUCUGCCUUUGGCUCAGGACAUGUGGGAUCAAGUCCCACAUCGGGCU
rnacentral:tRNA from 1 species